CCCGGUGCGUCCCGGCACCGUGGGCUCCGUGACCCCGCUCCUUCGCCCGCCCCACCGCGGAUCCAGCCGAGCCGAGCCGGGCUCCUUGUCCCCAAGUGGCUGCGGAGGCGCAGCCGAGGCCCUUCCGCGGCCUCAGCCCUCCAGACGGGACGGGAUCGCCCCUCCGGUGUCCUGGGACAGCCGGCAGGAGACGCGGGAGACCCGGACGCUCGACCUUGGCAACCCGGGAACCUGCUCCCCAACACAAAGCCGCGGCCGCGCAGAGGUGAAAACCGAAGCUCACGAGAAUUAAGCCGGAAAACCAACGCGGUACCUGUCCGGGGCCCUUUGGGCCAAACUCUUGCACACCCGGGCUUCCCUAGAAUCCUCUUCCCGUUCACCUCCACCGUCUACCUCCACAGCUAUCUCUCCAAGAGGGACAGGCUGAGCCCACCGACUAGCCUGGCCCCAAAUUGAUCUCUUCUGGGCUGCAGGAUACCCACAGAACCGCCUCUCAUGUAAGAGACAGGUGGGACCUGAAUCCAGCCUGUGCCCCACUCCCUAGGCCAAUAAAGUUCAUUCUGGCCCCAUGACCAUGAACCAGGCAACUUCUGUAUGUCCCAUACGGUGUUGCCUGCAGUGAAGGCAAGUAGAGGAAGAGAAUAUGUUUACCCCAUUUAGACCACUUGUGCUAUUCUUUAGGAAGGCUUUAAAAUGGCAAAACCUCUGGGAACAAGAGGAGGUUCCAUUUUGAUGGUAAGGGAUAAAAAGACAAAGAUGCCUAAAAUCAAGAAAAGAAAUAGGACUUCUCCCACACCAGCCAGACCCAGAAGCCCCAGGUCUGCUCCUGGCUCCCCCCACUAACUUGUUGAUGACCUUGAGUA